ACAGAGAAACAGAAUCCUUUUAUCUGAACCAGCUAUCUUGCCUCCCAGUGCCUUCACAACAAGCUGGAUGUACUCAGGAUGCGCCUUAUAUAUAACUCCAGUAAUGAGAUUGCCAUCAGAAACACAAUCCAUCAUGGUUUUGGGUUCAAUCCAAAGAGCACCGGCAUCGAUGAGAACAGGUCCCAGAGCACGGUAUGCAGUGCACUUCCGGCCUUUAAUAAGCCUGCAGCUGCCAAGAUCAAUGGCCCAUGGCAAAUAGCAGCAAUCAGCUUUCCUGAAUCGGAAAAUUGCCUCGCACAAUUUAACACAGAUUCAUUCAUGGCAAGAUAUUCUGGAGCCCUUCCUCCUGGUAUAACAAGCGCAUCAUAUUUGCUGAAAUCAACUUCAUCGAAAGUUGCAUUGAGACUAAAGUUGUGCCCAGGCUUCUCAGUAUAAGUCUACAGCAAGUAAAGUUCGAACAAACACAUCAGAACUAAGGAAAUGAAUGGCCAUAUUAUGGAUGUACUUUAUUUGAUCAGUUGGGCUACACCCACCAAGUUUGUCAGAAGUUCAAAACACGGUUUUUAUCAAAAAGGGAGCUCGCUAGACACAUCAUGAAUGUAAUACGAUCAUGGAAUCAUUAUCACUAUCAGUCUCACCACGACCACUAUCAUCACCAAGAUCAUCACUAUUACAUUCCUCCACUGCCAUCGGAGCCAGCAUUAACACCAACAUUACUACCUCCACCUCCAGCAUCCAUAUCACAUGACAAGCAAUUAAUCAGAAAAACCCUCUAAUUGGUUUUAGAAAAAUCAAAAUCUUAUAUUUGAAAUCUUCUUUAAUCCAAGAAGAUUUGCCUAACACAAUGGGUUUUGUCCACUAAUAUCUAGAGACUGACAUACUCACAUGCUUGUUUUCGUUAACAAUCAUGAAAUGGAUAUUUAUAUAAUAACAAAUUAAUAAAUACAAGGAAGGGGGGGACCUGAUAUCCAUGAUAGGCACCAGAGUCCCCAACUGUAGUGCGGCAAUAAUCACCAGCUUUCUUUCCAGGACAAACAGCAUCAACUGCUAUUCCAUAAGCCUGCAAGGCUUGAAAUGGAACCAUAGCCUGCAAAAACAAUAACAAAACUCCAUCACUUAAAGAAGAAAAACAACUUCAAAAUGAGAAAGACUGAUAAAAACGAAAGCAACCCACCUCAUAAUCUUCCAUGUAAUCCCCACAUAACAAUAGAACUUUCUUCCGUGGCUUGCAAUUAGCCAUUGCUGAUGCUAACAAUGACGCUUGAGAUUUAGCUCUCUGUGUAUUGCUAUGUGAGUGAUUAUAAAUUUAUAAGUGCAGGAGAAACGUAUUGUUCUUUAACUCUCUUUGUUAAUGUUGACUCGAUGCACAUUCUGACGAAUAGAAUAAAGAAAAUGGGCGGUUUGUUAUUAACGAAAACAACUACAUGACUUCAGUUCGGUUUCACUAUUCAUAUAAAAACAUCGAAAAAAAAGAGUUCAUAUAUAUAUAUAUAUAUAUAUAUAUUUUAAUUGUUUUCUAACAUUGUUAUGCUUAGCUCAAUUGGUUUGUUGACGUGUCUUAGUCGAAGUGUCUGCUAUGUGAUAGAUAAUCGUUUUUUUUUCCUUUUAAAAAAUGGAUGAUAAAUGUUGUUCGUAACCUGAAAAUAGAAAAAAAAAUACGAGUUAGACUAAAUCGCAUUUAGACUUGAUCCAAUCAAGUCUUACAUCAAUACUGAAUCAUUAUUAAUGAUAAUUUUCAGGUGAAAAUGAAACACAACAACUCACUAUCGAAAUUAGCAUGAUAUUUAAAGUGAUCUUGUUAAUUUUUCACUGACAUCAUUCAUAUUGUAAGCAAAAUCCUCUGCUAAUGACAUUGACAGGUCAUCAUUCAUUCGCACAACCAACAUGAUGAAAACCCAUUUCUUUGCCAAGCAGUAGAGUCUAUUUUCGCCACAGGCAAAACAGCAGACAAGUUACAAAGAUUUCUAGACACUAACAUAGAAUCCAUGUGUUAUUUGUUACAAGAUGGAUUUCUACUCCCAAACAUGGAGUCUGCAUCCGUGUGUUAUUUGAUAUAAGGUACAAGCACAGCAGUUAACAUGAAAAUAGCUAAAAUGACACCCGGAUUCCAAGUAAAGCCAUCAACAGAGAGACGAAAUCAGGGUGCCCAGGCCAAGCAGCUCCUGUGAUUAAAUUCUCAUCGGUGUAGCACCGAUGCAUUGAAUCAGGUUCUAGGCUUGUAGCCAUGUUGCCCCUCCCAAGACAACAUUCAGCUUCACCGCAGGGUUUACUGUGCAUUUUAGUCCCUGCAAAGGUGAUUCGUAUGAGGGAUUAUACGGUAUAACACAUGUAAUUAACAUAUGAUAUUUGCAAUUCUAUGGAGCAAUCCUGUUUCAAACAUAGAAGAUAAAGGUGGUUGAAUCUGUCAUUUGAUGAUAUGAGCCAUGAUCAGUUGCAUACGAAUUUUCUUCAGAGGUAAAGUUCUAAAAGUAGUAUAGUUUUAAAUGUUAAAAGCGGUAAAACUAAUCUUUAAGCAUUUCCAUGUCUCCCUGUUGUCCACUGAUGACAGUCUUGCUAGCAUCAAAUAAAUAACGUGUGCACACUGUUGUAAAAAACAUGGUUGAAUCUGUAAACGUGGAGAUUUGACUCCAUCGACCACGCUAGCCGCCUCUCCUCACCUAUCUUGUCUUAACUUCAAGCGUGGGGUUAUAAAAAUAUACACACAUCACAUAAUGUUUACCUGCACUUUUCAAAGAGGGCAUUAAUCUUCACUGAUGCUGGGCAACAUGACAGGUUUGUUCCACUUGCUCACACAUAGACAAUCCACGCAUAGUGUGAUGCAUUUUUCAUCUUGCAGGAUGCUGCUUCAAACCAUGUCAAAGUUUUAUUUGUUAUUUUCCAAUGUCGAGAUGAUGCACUGACCGAAACCACUGUCUCAUUUGCUCCAUAUACAUUCCCUUGACAGUUAUUACUUGAGUGUUCUACUAAUAAAUAAAUGGUUUUGCCUUUCAUUCCUUAAGUUUACACUUGCCAUUGGUUAAGUAUUUCAUCUUAAUAUGUGAUUCAGCACCACCCAACUUCCCCAGCCAAGAGAACCUGGAAGAUUAUGCAGGUUCAUCAAAGAAACAUCUUGGCGGAGAUGAUGUCGGUCCUGCACCAGCACUUCCAAAGAAGCAAUGCCUCUCCAUUCCAUCCCCUGAAAAGGUUUGCAUCUACAACAUCAUUUAUCUCUCUGUGCUGCUCCACCUUCUCUCUGUUUAACAAAGAUACUUUUCGUACAGAUCAACUCGCCAGAUAACCAAUUAUUCAAUCACAAGCAGCUACAUCAUUCUUAUUUCCUUUGAGAAUCAUUUGUAGCUUACACUUACACUUAUCUCCUAAAGUAGGAAAAAAACUAGCAUUCAGUUAAUCAAUGCUUUCUUAUCCAGCAUCGCAAGCUCAUUGGACAUCUUCUUCACCUGCUUUUUUAUUGCAACCUGCAGUUCAUCGACGUCCACCUUUUCUCUAUGUACGAGGCAUAAAGUACUUGGCUCCAGGCACCUUUUGUUUUGCUUUGAUUUAACUAUCUUUACUCAACUUUUGCAAUCCUGUCACUAACUUUAUGAAUUCCAUGCCUUUACUUAACUUUUACAAUCGUAUCACUAACUUUAUGAAUUCCAUGCCUUUUACUUCAUAAUAUUUCUGGGCAUUUUAUCUUUGUCUAUUAUAAUAAUUAGAAUCAAAUUUCACUUAAAACACCCUCAGCAUUGCGUCGGCAUCAAAAGCUAGUAAAAAGCUAUAAUCUGUAGCUUUUUUGAUAUCACAGCAGCAUUAUGCAAUAUCAAACAAAACAUUACAAUAGCUUUGACUUUUAUAUUUUGUGCCCAAUAAAUACAGAAGAUAAUAAAAUAAGCGGAAGUUUUUCUUUUUUUUCCUAAAUCUUGGUAUCUAGAAAUUCAAUAGGCUUUAAUUAAUUCGGUCAAGUCGGGAUGAUCUACUAAGAGGUAAAGCUCUUCCAGUAAUAAUAUACUUCAUUCAUAAAACUCGAAUUCAAAAAAUAAAAGGAAUAAGUUUCAAAUCACUUAAUCCAACUAUCAUUGAUUAGCGUGUAAGUUUAACAAAAGACAACAACAUAUUUUGUUUAAGAAAAUUUUUUUUUUAAACUAAUUUUAAAAUCAACUUAAGUAUUACAAAAUAAAUAAACAUAAAAGACAUGCAUCUCUAUUUUCAUGGUCUCAUUACCUGUACUCUAAAACGAGUGGGAUUUUCAUUGUACAUUUAUUACUGUAUAAAAUUUGUAUUUUUUAAAUUUUGUAAUCAAACUUCUUUUUUGGGCAUUUUAGUCCCAAUUAAGAAGCAAUUGGCUUUAAAUUUUUAUGAAAGGGUGAGAUUGAAAAAAGAGGGACCGAAAUGAAAAACAUGUCAAACAUGGGUGACGCACCAUGAGUUUCGAAAAAAUAUAUUUUGGUCCUUCAACUUAAAUAAUCAAGAAAAUUAUACAUGUGUUUUCAAAACUAAAUGGACCGAAAAUAAACUUUGGCAAAAAAGCAGAGGUGCUGUUUUUUCCCCCUAUAUCAGAGCUGCCAUUUUGAUUGUUUUUCAAUAUUGGUACCCUAGCUUCUAAUUCAAUUAGAACCAUAAAAUUAAUUUGAUCUCCGCAAUUUCAAGUCGCAACCUAAAGUCAAAAUGCCUUGUCAAGACCACGGUAGCCUAACAGAAGGCAAGCAGGAUCAACGUAGAACACAAAUACCUAAAUUCACUUAAUAUCAAAGGAUUUAAUUGAAGAAAAAAAACCUCAAAAAAAAAUAAAAAGUUAGAGGGGCCGGGAACAUAAAAGGAAAAAAACACUGUUCUAUUGACAUGUGAGUAUAGCUACAAUUGCCAAAUCUUUGAGGGUGUUUUGUAAUUUUUAAAAAAUACUAGCACUUAUAGAUGCAGAAAUAUUCCAUUUUAUUUCCAAUUGACUUGAAAAUCUUUCAGAGACGCCGGCCGUUGUUUGUGAAUGGAGGGGAGUUGUUCCUCCCUUGUCCCUGCUAUCGGAUUUGGUAUGGGUUCACGUAUUUUCAUAUUUUUUUUAUAAUUAGAAUAUAGUAUUUAAUAGUUUAUACUCAAUAAAAAAUAAAAUACAAUGCCAAAUGAGGCCAUCCACUUAAACAUUAAAGCAGGGUCAUCAAGGGCUUUGAAUCCGGAUGUUAUUUGAUAGACAUACACGAACAGGUAGUAUUAUUGCAACAGCACAGCUAGAAUGACACUCGGAUACCAAGUAAGGCCAUCAGCUGAGACACAAACUGAGGGUGCCCUGGCCAUGCAGCUCCGGUAACCAGGUUUUCGUCGGUGUAGCAACGAUCGAUUGGAUCCGGUUCUAGCCAUGUUGCCCCUCCCAAGACGACGUUCAGCUUCACAGCAGGGUAUGCGGUGCAUUUUCUUCCCUGCAGCAACAUGAUUCACAUAUACAAGAAUAAGGAUGGCAGGUGUGAAGAAAAUGAUUACUUGUGUGAUUCUAUGAAAGUGAAAGAAAACAUUGGAUACUACCUUGAGAACUCCCGCAGCAGCUAGGAUCUGCUGCCCGUGACAAAUAGAGGCAACCGGCUUCUUUGAUUGCAUGAAUUUCUUCACCAAGGCAAUCACUGUCUCAUCCAGUGCCAAAUAUUCUGGAGACCGGCCUCCAGGGAUGACGAGAGCGUCGUAACUCGAGGCAUCCAAGCCUUCAUAGGAAGCUGUUAGAAUGAAAUUAUGGCCUGGCUUCUCAGUGUAUGUUUGGUCACCUUCAAAGUCAUGGACUGCAGUCGGGCAGAAAUCCCCAGCCUUCUUCUUGGGGCAAACUGCAUCAACGUGGCACCCAAGAGCUUGAAGGGAUUGAAGAGGAACAGUAACCUCAUAAUCUUCCAUGAAAUCCUGAAAGCAAGAAUAAGAGAAUAAAUACUUCUUAGUAAACAAGAAAAACACUUGUUUCUUCGAGCUUGAUGAUAGUAACCAGAGUAAAAUAAUUUUUGUAUUAGAACUUACCCCACAGAGAAACAGAAUCCUUUUAUCUGAACCAGCUAUCUUGCCUCCCAGUGCCUUCACAACAAGCUGGAUGUACUCAGGAUGCGCCUUAUAUAUAACUCCAGUAAUGAGAUUGCCAUCAGAAACACAAUCCAUCAUGGUUUUGGGUUCAAUCCAAAGAGCACCGGCAUCGAUGAGAACAGGUCCCAGAGCAUGGUAUGCAGUGCACUUCCGGCCUUUUAAUAAGCCUGCAGCUGCCAAGAUCAAUGGCCCAUGGCAAAUAGCAGCAAUCAGCUUUCCUGAAUCGGAAAAUUGCCUCGCACAAUUUAACACAGAUUCAUUUAUGGCAAGAUAUUCUGGAGCCCUUCCUCCUGGUAUAACAAGCGCAUCAUAUUUGCUGAAAUCAACUUCAUCGAAAGUUGCAUUGAGACUAAAGUUGUGCCCAGGCUUCUCAGUAUAAGUCUACAGCAAGUAAAGUUCGAACAAACACAUCAGAACUAAGGUAAUGAAUGGCCACAUUAAGGAUGUACUUUAUUUGAUCAGUUGGGCUACACCCACCAAGUUUAUCAGAAGUUCAAAACACGGUUUUUAUCAAAAAGGGAGCUCGCUAGACACAUUAUGAAUGUUAAACGAUCAUGGAAUCAUUAUCACUAUCAGUCUCACCACAACCACAACCACUAUCAUCACCAAGAUCAUCACUAUUACAUCCUCUACUACCAUCGGAGCCAGCAUUAACACCAAUAUUACUACCUCCACCUCCACCUCCACCUCCAGCAUCCAUAUCACAUGACAAGCAAUUAAUCAGAAAAACACUCUAAUUAGUUUCAGAAAAAUCAAAAUCUUAGAUUUGAAAUCUUCUUUAAUCCAAGAAGAUUUGUCUAACAUCAUGGGUUUUGUGCACUAAUAUCUAGAGACUGACAUACUCACAUGCCCUGUACAAUAAUUUGCACAUCCAUACAAGACAUAGAUGGGGGUGUUACAAAGAAAUAUGUAUUGCCAAGCAAACAAUGAUUUCGUUAACAAUCAUGAAAUGGAUAUUCAUAUAAUAACAAAUUAAUAAAUACAAGGAAGGGGGGGGGACCUGAUAUCCAUGAUAGGCACCAGAGUCCUCAACUGUAGUGCGGCAAUAAUCACCAGCUUUCUUUCCAGGACAAACAGCAUCAACUGCUAUUCCAUAAGCCUGCAAGGCUUGAAAUGGAACCAUAGCCUGCAAAAACAAUAACAAAACCCCAUCACUUAAAGAAGAAAAACAACUUCAGAUAGAUAAAAACGAAAGCAACCCACCUCAUAAUCUUCCAUGUAAUCCCCACAUAACAAUAGAACUUUCUUCUGUGGCUUGCAAUUAGCCAUUGCUGAUGCUAACAAUGACGCUUGAGAUUUAGCUCUCUGUGUAUUGCUAUUUGAGUGAUUAUAAAUUUAUAAGUGCAGGAGAAACGUUUUGUUCUUUAACUCUCUUUGUUAAUGUUGACUCGAUCUCGAUGCACAUUCUGACGAAUAAAAUAAAGAAAAUGGGAGGUUUGUUAUUUACGUAAACGACUUAAGUUCGGUUUCACACUAUUCAUAUAAAAACAUCGAGAAAAAAAGUUAAUAAAUAUAUAUUUUUUAAUUGUUGUGCUUAGCUCAAUUGGUUUGUGGACGUGUCUUAGUCGAAGUUCCUGUUACAUGGAGAUUUGACCACCAAUUAUGCUAGCCGCCUCUCCUCACCUAUCUUGUCUUAACUUCAGACGCGGAGUUUUGAAAAUGUUUGUUCAAUUAAUACAUACUAUAUAAUUUUUAUUGUAAAUUUUUUAUUAAAAUAUUUUUUAUUUAAAAAUAUAUUAAAAUAAUAUAUUUUUUAUUUUUAUACCAACAUAGAUAAAAAAUAUUAAAAAUAAUUUUUUUAAAAAAUAUUAUUUUGAUGUAUUUUUAAAUAAAAAAUACUCUAAAUCACAAAUGUUCCUAAACAUACAGUUAAAGAUUAUGAUGCUCCGAGCAACUAGAACAUCUUUGCAGGCAAUUUCAAGGCCAUAGUUUUGGCAAACAUUAGUACUCUAUUUCUUGCAAUCAGAUUUUCCUGCUUUUGAGUUCUCCGAGGUAUCUCUACUCAUAUGGUGUCCUAAGAUUGCUUGACUUCAUUUUGGCUUCCACUGCCUAAAUUUGGAUCUGAUUCUUGCUAUUGUGAUGAUUUUGGUCUGUUGCUGCUCUAAUUGCUUUGUGGGGUUUAAUACCGAACUCAUUUUUUAGAUUCAAGAUUUCCUCCAGUAUUAGUUGUUUGAUCCUUGCCAGUUCAAUUUGAAGCUCCUCUUCAUGUAUGCACUGCACUUUGGUGUCGGUCUGAAUGGACAACAUAAACUGACCACUGCAGAUGUUGCGCUAAAAUUAUAGUUGAUCGCUACUGUUCACUCUAAAAUUUGUCGUCUGUAAAGCCAUAUCAUUCUGAAAACUUGUCGAAGACACUAUUUCUUGAUGAUGAAUGAUGGAAUGAUUGAAUUGUCUCGUAUAUACAACAAGAUUCAUCUAAGAAAUCGGCAAGAAAUUCCCAUUCACGGAAAUUCAUAUGGGGAAAGUGAAUAAAAUCUUGGUCUCUCUUUCUGUUAUUUUCUUUUAGAAAAAUUCAUUAGGUUGCUUGCUUGCUGCAGUUGAAUGCUUGAUUUUCCAAAUGAACACCUUCUCUGUUAAUCUCCUAUAUCUUCGAAAUAAUCCUUUUCUUUGAAGAGCUCAAUCAUACAUCAUUAAUCAUCGUGCUAUUUCUUUACAGCCCCCUGCUCUAAAACGUUCCUUAUGCAUCCUAUAUUGCGCUUGCGCUCCUUCCUUUUCUUCUUGGCCACUAUAUUUUUCUUUUUGGCCAUAUCCACACCUCUAGAUCGCCAUGGCAACGAGAUAUUCAAAGAACAUAGCCACCUGUUCAGCUGCGGAUCAAUGCAAGACUUGUCAUAUCCUUUCUGGGCCAACAACCGAAGCCUGGACUGUGGACGUCAAGGAUUCAAGAUUUAGUGCCAAAACAAUAACACUGUUAUAGACACUACUAAAAAAUAAAUCUAUUAACAACUAACUAUUCCAUUACAGAUAAUAUUAAAAUAUGUUGUUGAUAAAAUUCAGCAACAGAAUUAGCAAUAGAUAAUUUCAGAUGCAAAUAAUAAAUGUUAAUUUUUUAACAACAGAUUAUCAGUUGCUAAUUUGUUUAGCAACAAAUUAUCCAUUGCUGAAAUUCGGUUACUGAAUGUGUAAAUUAGCAACGGAUAUUCCAUUGUUAAUGAACGUUGCUGAUCAGCAACGGAUAUUCUGUUGCUGAUCCGUUGCUAAUUAACAAUAGAAAUUUUGUUGCCAAUCCGUUGUUGAUUUAACAUGAAUUUUUUAAAUUAUUUUUUUCAUUUAUUGAAUUUUUUAAUUAUUUGUGGCUAUUUCAAAAAUUAUAGAUAAAUAUACAAAGAACAUAAAUUAAUAAUAUAAAUUAUUUUAUAAAAAAUAAUAAGUCAAAUAAAAUAAAUUUCACAAUAAAUUUUUAAAUCUCUUCAAACUUACAUCAAAAUAGAUAAGUCACAAUUUAAUAAAUAUGUUUUAUCAUAAAGGUGGUGGUGGGGGUGGUGUUGGAAACGAACCAAAACAAUGCUGACCAUCAUGAGGUGGGACCGGUAUACGGUGGUUGAGGCCUCGGUCGAUAUACUGGAUUAGACAAGGAAUACAUCUGUGGAGCCAUAUGUGAUGGCAUAGAUGAAGCCAUAAGUGUCAACAUACCUUGGUCCAUAUUUGAUGCCCAAGCUUGGUAUCCCAUAUUACUAAGAAAGUUUUUGAUUGAAGUCAUCUCCUGUUGUGGUGAUAAAAUAUGACCAUCUCUUUUCUUUAUUUGCUCUUUCAAUGCCUGAAUUGAUGGGCUAGGAGGUGUUGACUCCAUCGUAUAGGAUUGUGAUGAAGCACUCGUACUAACCAUGGAUUUCGGCAUAUCAGGUGCACCAUAUAUUCUACCCUUUAUAACUCCUUCUAUAGCCACACACCAAGCUGCUCCAUCAAAUGAAGGAUGAUUUUCCCGAUCAAUUUCAUAUAUUGAAAUCAUCUCUUUUAUGUAAUUCUCCUACAAUAAAAUUAAAUAUAAUAAUAAAUUCAUUUUAAUUUUAAAUAAUAAUUAAAUUACAUAAAAAAAUACUUACAACAACUUUUUUAGACUUGUUAUCUAUGAAGGUUUCAGGCUUCUUGGCAUUCUGAUGCAACACCAAAAACACAUCAUCCAUAAUUUAUCAAAGGGAAAUAUAAUACGUUAUUUUGAUUGUCCAAUGGAUUAGUAAAAUGAUGUAGGCAAAAUAGCUAGCUAAAUAGGAUACACUAAGCAAUUGCUCUGUUUAUUAUUUCUCACCAUAAUUUUUUUUCUUCAACUUUAGUAAUAUAGACUAUUCUAUUGGAAAAAAAAAUAUAAUCGUUUUCAUUGUCAAGUAAUAUUGUAGAAAUAAAGUUUGCAUGCAAACAUAUGCCAUAAUUAUUUUUUUUAACCAACUAUUAAAUAUUUAUUUCAUCAAUAAUUUAUUACUUAAGAUUGUCACAUUAAACAAAGAAAUACCAACAAACUAAAAACACUUUGGAGACAAAUUAUAUCAUUAUUAGCAAACAGAGGCUAAGAUUUAAUUACGAUGCAAUUUUUCUACAAAUCAAGUUAUCUUUCAAAAUUAAUAAAAAGUUUUAAGCUACAUUGACAAACCUGGAGGACCAAUAUGCACAACCCAAAAACUUGACAACUCCAAAUGCAAAUAAGUAAUGUGAUGAUGAUAGGUUCAACAAUCUGAAAUUAAAAAAAUAACAAUAAAUAAGAAUAAUAAUAUUAAAAAAUUAAAAAAGUAAAUUAGCAUGUAAUGAGCAAGAAUAGCAUUGAAUAAUGUUUCCAACCAUUUUAUUUAUGAUUUAUCAGGACUUUAUAAAAUAAAAGUCAUUUAACAAGUUGGAAAAUAAAAUCAUUUAAUAGGCUGGAAAGAGAAUCCCAACACUGCCAUUUCCUUGCCCACCCAAAAAUAAAGUCAGAAAAUAAUCAUUUAACAGGCUGGAAAGAGAAUUGGCAAUCACUGGGGAACGGAAUUGGAGUAGAUUUCAACUCACCUUUCUGCUCAACCUCAGGCUAAAUAACCUGAUAUUGAUGACAGCUGACCCUUCGCAGAAGGAAAUCCUCCAGCAAUUAACGGUACAAAAGUUAGCAUUCGUGGCUAUAGACGGCGAGGCUGAUGAACUUGGACUCACAUUUGUAACACAUACAAUAAUAGUCUUCUGAAGAGUCCCAUAUUAUAUUGAGCAUCCUGACAGAAAACAAGAAAUCUGGAUGAAAAUCAUUUACUUCUAGUUAAAAUAUUCAGAUUGAAUUGAACAUAGCAGACUCUUUCAACACAUGAAGAAAUCGCAUAGUAGCUAAUAUCUUCACAGACUAGUUCAUGAAUUCUGGAUCCAUCCUGCAGGUCAUGUUUUUUUUUUUCAACCAUGAAGAAACAACAUAUUAAAAUGCAUCGUUCUUGUCUCCAUUUGUUUCAGAUAAUGAGUCUCCAUUUGUUUCAAAUAAUGAAAAUCAACGUAACUACGUACUAGUUGUCGUCCUCUGCCAGCAUAAAUGAAAAAUGUAGCACGUUGGAGAAAAAAGACAAGGUUAAAGGAGACAAAGCCAAAGCCAUAUCGAGAAUGAAGGAACUAUUGCGAUGGGCUGCCUCUGCAAAAUCGGAGAAAGCAGGAAAGUAUAUCGGCCGGAAGGUCAAUUUUUUAACAUAUUUGAGUCAUUAAUCUUCUCCCUGAACCGGAAAAUUUAAAAUUUCUCCUCUCUCGGCAUGUUUGGACGUUUGAGUUCAUUAAGUGCGCAUGCAGUAUCGGUAAAGCCUUGGAAAAAAAAAAAAAGCCUUCAAAAAUUAAUUAAAUAAAAAAAAUCAAAUUAACUGAUUAUAAAAUCCAAAAAAACUAUUAUCCAGUUCAAUUUUAAUUUAAAAAACUUGAAAUUGAUUCAGCCAACAUUAAAUCUAAAAUAAAAAAAUAAAAAAAUUAAUAUUUUUAUUAACACAAAAUUAAUCAAACCCACAUUCCCCCAAUCAGCCUUCUUUUGCAUUUAUGCUGCCUAGACAACCUUCCUAAGACACAUUACUAGAGGUGAGCAAAAAAAAUUGAAAAACCGAUUUAACUGAGAAAACAAAAAAAAAUUAACCAAAAAAAUCAAACCGGUAAAAAAAACCGAUUGAACCGGUUAAAAUAUUUAGGAAAAUAUCCGGUUCAGUUUGGUUUUCGGUUUUGGUGUGCCUGAACCGGCCAACCCGAACCGAACCGGUUCGGUUUAAAAAUGAAAAAAAAAACCAAGUCGCGGGCCGCCUCCUCCCUCCUAUUAGUCAACAACCCUAGCAGACCAUUUAUCAUUUCCUUCUCUUUCACACAACCGCCCCCUCCCCUCCCAUUAACUCUUUGAAUGCUUUCACAAUUUGAAGGGUCCCUUUUAUUCACAGCUUCCAGCCUGCCAUGCUCUCUUUGUCUCUCAUCUCUCAACGUAAGGGAAAAGUAAUUGAUUACAGGUUAAGCUUUAAUAUUUCUUUUCAAUAUUUGAGUAAAAUUUGUCUUAUUCUCUUCCAAUCUUCCAUGCUUUCUGUCUCUCAUCUCUCAUCUCUCAAACUUGCCAUCUCAGAUGUGAAUUGUUGAUGAUUCUUCCAUUGAUUUACUUGAUUCUCCUUCAUGGGUCACGACACAAAAAGAUCCCACCUCGAUUGCCUGAGAGGGAUUAUUUUGGGUCUAGAAGCUGAAGAGUGUCCAGAAAAAUCAAAGUAGUGAUUGACUGAUUGCUAAGAACUGAUACUGUUUUUUUGCAAUUAACUUUUCCUUUGCAAGAAGUUGUAACAACGAGAACAACGUUGUUGAUUCUUAGAGGAUGACAUCUUGGAAUUGCAUUUCAGUUUGAAUCGGUUUGGAAGGGAAAAAACCGAACCGAACCAAAAUUAAUCGGUUUGAAUUGGUUUUUGGUUCGGUUCAAAAACUAAAAAAAAAUAUUUUGGUUUGGUUGUUUAUUUUGGUUCAAAACCGGACCGAACCGAAAAUGUUCAGCCCUACACAUUACCCAAACUUUGUAUGGAGAAGUUGGGAAGCUUUGCUAGGAAGCCGGCUAAGACACAUUCCCUACUAUCAUAUAUAGUUUUUACCAUAAAAUUUGCACAAACUCUGCCAUCCUUUCUAAAACACAUUACCCAUAUUUCUCCCCCAAAAAACAACACACAUACACCCAGUAAAACCAAAAAACCCAGAACCCUAUAAAAAGUCUAACUACUUCCAUAUUUAACAAUAAUUAGCAAUAGAUUUACAAAAUUAUUCUGUAAAAUUAGUUAAUAAAACAAUAUAUAUUCUCUCUAAAUUACAAACAUAAUCUUUUAAAUAUGGGUUUUUGAUUAUACCUGCUAUUUUAAUUUUUCACACCAUGUUUGCUCCCUGCAAGAUUGAAUUUUUGGAAGCAUAAAGUAACUGGAGAAGAAGUUAAGAAAACAACAAGUUAUGUUUGUGGAAAAUGACACAUGACAGGGAUAGGUAGAUUUAAAAGGGACAUAUGGGUUUGGCUCCUGGAAAAGGAAUAGAAAGGAAGAGAUAUGGGUUAAUUAGGUUUUUGAAGAAUUAUAGAAAGGGAUACAAUAUUGGGUUCUUUCGAAGAAUGAAGAAAGUUUGCAGCUGUGGGGUUCUCCUUUUGUUGUUUUCAAGUAAUAAAAAAGCAACACGUCAUUAUUAUUAUUAUUAUUUUAUAAAAGUUUACAGCAAUCAUAUUACAAGGGAAAAUAUGUUGUUGAUUCUUAAUAUAUUAAUUUAUUUUUUAGUAUCUAAUUUUUCAUUACUGAAUCCGUUGCUAAUAUUAAAAAAUUAAUAUAUAUUUAAUCCGUUGCUAAUUUAUUACUAAAAUUACAUCUAAAUUAUUCUAAUACUAACAUCCGAUGGUAAUUACCCUCCUUUUUUAAUAGUGAGAGAUCAUGUCACAGAAUUACAGCAUUAAUGUCAAUCGACAAAGAGCUUCCUAUUCGUACAGUAGUCGAAUGGAUAUGAAGGAUGAUGGUUGCCCUGAGGAUCUUUUUAACAUCACCCUCAGCAAUACUCCCUUUGAUUAUGCUCCUUGGAGUAUAAACCCUAGUUUUAUAUACGAUUUGCCCCCUGAAAAGUAGAAUCAAAUACCCAUUACCUCAAAAUGCCCCAUAAAAGUUACGACUGCCGGAGGUUUCUACAGACAAACGGAACCGGCAACCACAUAUUCAAUCAUGUGGUAACAACAUCCUAGUUUCGAUUCUUGCUGCCUUUGAGGAACUUUACAACCCUAAAGCAACAGUAAAGAUAGGUCUUGAAUCGGACUCCAAAGUUGACUGGAAACCUCACUCGUUAUGCACCACAACAAGAGAUGGACAAUGUGGACAUUAUCCGUGUAGUUUUUAAAGUUUACUUUUUGAUCAUAAAACUUCAUUCUUUCACCUUUCAAUCUUUGACUGUUGAGAGAGGAGAGAGGCACUGAAGAUGAAAAUAAAGAGAGAAAGCUUUAUAUCGGUGAUGAAAAUCGAUUGGUGUUAAUGAAUUUUUCUUGAAUAAAUGAGUCUAAUGAAAGUGAUUUAAAUCUUACAAAAAAAACAUAAACAAGGAAAGGAAGUUUUAAUCAAAGAAAAACUUGGCAAAAAUUCACAAUAAAAAUCUAUUUGCUUGAUACUAUGGCCUGUUGAUAUUUUUUUGAAGGAAAAGAAAGAUCUUAUCCAUGCCAAAGAUGCAUGCAUGCAUGGUUCCUGCUUUAUCAUGAAAAUAAUUAGGAUGGUUCUAAUCAACUGAAAACGGGGGCAAAAUUAGGAUUUUGAAAAUUAAGGGUGCCAAAAUGAAAAUAUAUUACAAUACAUUUAAAAAUAAAAUAAACUAGAAAUGAUCACUAUAGAAAAUUACAAUUACAAAAAAAGCCAGUGGUUUUACUGGACAAGAAGUUAUUGUGCACGCUCUGUAUUUUCAUUAUGAAUUACAAAAGUGCCAUUUUUCUUUUUGUAAAACCUAGUUGAAACUUGUCUAGAAAACAUAAUUAAAUGGGCUUAUACAAGUAAGAGGUGAGAAUGAAAGUCUAGUAAAUUAAGUAGGACUAAAUUAGAAACAUGAGGGAUAAUUUUAAAAUUAUUAUAAAGUGAAGGACUAAAAUGCAAAAAAGAAAAGAAAAGAAAGUUUAGCCUCUCUCUUAAAAGAGGGCUGGCGGUGUGAAGAAAAGAAAAACUCCAUCUUAUCAUAUUGAAUGGACUAACCGUUUUUUCCAUGGUUGCUUCUGCUUUUGAAGCAAACCACGGGAAAACAAACGUUUGGUAAUUAAUAAAACUCAAUUUACUGUUCAUGGGUCCUAUUGGUAUUUUCGUUGAAAACGCAGGAUUACUAAAAGCAGCACAAUACUGCUUUCAGUUGUGGAGAGUGUCUCCACUGUUCACGUGAACAGUGGAGCCUAUCUCUAUUGUUCCGGUCGGACCGGGUCUGGUCCAAAGUUAAAUAUAUUGAACCGGGUCCGAUCCAGUAAGAAAAAUUAAAUUAAAAUUUUUUAUUUUUAAUUGUGUUUUAUUCAAAAAACUAGUGUUUAAUAUUAUUCAAUGACACUACAUAAAUUAGACGGAGAUCGCUUGAUUGAUCGCAAUCCCAAUUUUGUUCUUGAUUAUAUUUUACCUUAUGUUGUUGCGUACUUAAGAAACCAAGAAAACUGUAAUCCUUGUUAGAUGUAUUUCAUACGUGAUGAAAUUGUAGAUAGUUUAAUUAAACAAUAAAAAAUAUUUUAUAUAAAGUAUUAUUUAUUUCAUGAUGUAAUAAUAAUAGUUAAAUCUAUAAUAUUUAAAUUAAAAACCAUCAAUAUUAAUCUAUAUUUUUUAAAAUUAUUUUAUAACCUUAAUUUAAAAAACAUUCUUAACUAAAGACAUUAAACUACUUUUUGUAUAACCUCAAUUUCAACCACAGUUUUAACCAAACAUACAUAAAUAUUAAACCAACCGCAACCAAAAGUACUUUUUAUAAAACAACUUUUUCAAACCACAACCAUAAAAGCUACCACAAUAUCAAACACACUUUAUCCAUCAAACUCAACUGAUGCAUUCAGUUUUUGGACUUUAAAAAAAAAUUUUUUAUUUUAAAUUAAUAUUUUUUAAUAUUUUAAUGUGCUAAUAUUAAAAAUAAUUUUUUUAAAAUAAAAUUUUUUUUUAAUAUAUUUUAAAUUUUUGUUUUUUUUUUAAAAAAACUCAAUAUCAUAUUCCAAAACAACCCGCCGUGACACUGCAAAAAAAAACCUUUGUGCCAGCACAAGGUAAACUUCCCAGUAACUAUCAUUUCAAGUGAUGAAAAGGCCGGCUGGUCAAAAAUUGUCUGUGGCAGAAAAGCUCCAAUAAUCAACUCAAACUCACCCUCUCAUAACCUUCAUUAUACUGAUUCCCUCUUCACCCUCCUCCCCCAUAAUUUAUUCACCACCGUGUCUCUUCCUCUAUCUCCUCCACAAAAUCAAGAUUCCUAAAUGAACCAUAACUUCUUUUUAACAUCCUUUUCUUCAAUAAUAAGUCUCUUUGUUGUCUCUUUGUUCCUCCUGGAAAAGAAAGCCUCAUGUACAGACCCUCAGUUCCUAGCUUGCAAUCCCGAAAGCUGUGGCGAUGGCCAAAACAUAAACUUCCCAUUUUACAUCCAGAACAAGCAAGAACCCUCAUGUGGCUACCCUGGAUUCAGUCUCUCUUGCAAUAACAAAGGCAAGCCAGUCCUUAAACUGUCCAAUAAUGAGUAUAUCAUCCACGAAAUCUACUACCAAAACCAGUCUCUUCGUGUCUCAAAUACAGCUGUUUUUGGGAAAAGCACCCCCUGUAUUCCUCAAAUACAAAACAUGUCUCUAGCUGAUGACAGGUUCCAUCUGCCUUCUAACAGAGCAAGCCUCUUCUUGCUUUACAAUUGCAACGCAACACUGCUAGCAAAUGAUAGUGAACUUCUGAAUUACAAGGUUGAUUGUUUUGGGGAGAAUGGAACUGUUUCAACUCUAGCAAUGCUUGAUGAUGAUCCUCUGUUGGGUCCUGCAUCGGACAAGUGUGAAACUGGAGCUGUGGCACCUGUGGAUGUGUAUAGAGGAGAGAAUGUUGGGAGUGAAAGGAUGCUAUUGUUAGAAAGAGGGUUUGUGUUGAAUUGGAUAGCAAGUAAUUGUAGCAUCUGUGAAGGGAGUGGUGGCAAGUGUGGAUUUGAUAACGCCACAUACCAUUUCAAAUGUUUCUGUCCUGAUAGACCUCAUUCUCGGUCUUGUACUUCCGGUGAGUCAUUUUAAUUUUUUCUUUUUUCCUGUCUUGAAAUUUUGUUAAUGUUAUUUUAUGGCAUAGAGCCAUUGCCCACUUGUUUGCCUUGGCUAAAAAGUUGCUAGUUGUGUGUUACGCUGGGAUACUCUCUUCCUUCCACUGUCUAGAAGAGGUAAAAAACUCUCUUCCUUCCACUGUCUAGAAGAGGUCCAUCUUGCUAGGCUAGCAAAGUCUUGGAUGAACAGUGGCACACACCACUAACAAACUGGCAGUAGGUACUGGGUGGUUUAGGCGAAGAGUCUUCGAUGAAAAAUGGGGAGAUAGCUACUUUCAUGCAUGUAUAUAAACUUGAUUUUUUAAUAUUUAUACAAUUUGAUUUGUAUCAUUUUCUGAAUGAUUCUUCAGGAAUAGAACUGGUUCUGUUUCAAUGAAUUUAGAUCAGGAAAUUAACCUGCAGCUGCCUGUUUUUUCUUCUGCAUUGGUUCAGCUCUUAUUAUUCGAACAUAACAUUAUGUUCUGUCAACUAUGAUGCAGGGAAUGGCAAUAUGGGACGAAAGCUUAUAAUAGGUAACAGAAUAAUUUAUCAUUUUUAUGUUUUAUAUGUUCCUUCACAAUCUUCACUUGAAUUCGACUGUCGUAUGCUUUUCUCCAUGCCUGUCCAUCAUCAAGGUGUAGGAACAGGAGGCCAAGCUAUAAUGAUAAUUCUGUUGCCAUUAUGCAUUUCCCUUUUCUGAUUAAAAGUAGAGGUCUCUCUUUCAGUGAACUUGAACAAGCCAACCAUCGUUUUCAUCCCUCGCAUUAUUUUCUUCAACCAAAAAACCUGACCAAGACGGACACUAUAUCUCCCAACUGAAACUGUUCUCCUCCUUCUCCAAUCUUUUAAACAAGCGUAGUACAAAGUGUUUAGCAGUACAUGUGCAUACAAGGCAUGCUUUACCAAACUUUCCUUCACUGUGAGAGGUUGAAACCUCUUCAAAAAUAGUUUAAAUGACUCAUUCUUAGACUGCAUUAUUUUCCUUCCUCAUCACCUUUCUUUACUGCAGCUGCCUCAGCUGCCGGCGUUGGAGUUCUAAUAAUUACAAUCUGCUGCGUCAUCAUCAGAAUGUUCUUACCCGUCAACUUCCUUUCCAGUUUGAGAAAAACCAGAGGAAGUCGAAGUAUAGAGGUUUUUCUGAGGAACUAUGGAACCUUGGCACCAAAAAGAUACAGUUAUUCAGAACUUAAGAAAAUGACCAAAACCUUCAAAGAGAAACUAGGCCAAGGAGGCUACGGAAGUGUUUUCAAAGGCAAUUUACCUGAUGGUCGUCUUGUUGGAGUUCUAAUAAUUACCACCUUUCAAGCAUCAGCCAGACUUCCCACGUCAACAUUGUUACUCUUCUGGGGUUCUGUUUUGCGGGUUCCAAACGAGCUCUAAUCUACGAGUUCAUGUCUAAUGGGUCACUUGACAAGCACAUAUAUGAAGAAAAUCUCUCGAAGGCAGAUCGCCAAUUGGGGUGGGAAACACUAUACCAAAUUGCAGUUGGCAUUGCUCGGGGAUUAGAAUACUUGCACAGAGGUUGCAACACAAGGAUUUUACAUUUCGACAUCAAGCCUAAUAAUAUUCUUCUAGAUGAAAACUUCUGUCCAAAAAUUUCUGAUUUCGGCCUGGCUAAAAUAUGCCCCAGAAAAGAGAGUAUCGUAUCGAUGACGGGUGCAAGAGGAACUAUUGGAUACAUUGCCCCCGAAGUAUUUUGUCGAAAUUUUGGAGGGGUCUCUCACAAAUCUGAUGUUUAUAGCUACGGGAUGCUAGUAUUAGAAAUGAUUGGAGGGAGAAAAAACUUCUGCGUCGGAGCUGGUAAUACCAGUGAGAUCUAUUUUCCAUAUUUGAUAUACAAGCGUCUUGAACUAGGUGAAGAACUUGGACUUCGAGGGACGGGCAAUAAAGUGGAAGAGCAAAUUGCAAGAAAAAUGAUUUCGGCAAGCUUGUGGUGCAUACAAACUGAUCCCUCAAAUCGGCCACCCAUGUCUCGAGUGGUAGAAAUGCUGCAAGGAAGCCUCGAGUCCUUGCCAAUCCCACCGAGACCGAUCUUGUCUUCCCCUCCAAGAUCUCCUCGUGGAUCAAUUUCAGAUUUCUCGAGCACCGCUAUCAUAAUCCAUGACCUUUAAGUUUUAAAUACGCAUCGCGUCUUCCUUGCACCAGGCCUGAUCUUUUUUGUGCUCGGAACCAUGCCCAGCUAACAACUUUCUCUCUUCUUUGCUAUUUACUAGCAACUCUUUCUCUUCUCUCAAACUAGGGGUCAAAAUGGGAACAAAAUAAAGUCUUGGACCAAAAGGAAACUUUGACAAAAAAAGCAGAGGGACUGUUGUUUUCCCUAUAUCAGAGCUACCAUUUUGAUUGUUAUUCAAUAUUGGUACCCUAGCUUCUAAUCCAAUUAGAACCAUAAAAUUAAUUUGAUUUCCGCAAUAUCAAGUCCGAACCUAAAGUUGAAAUGCCUUGUCAAGACCACGGUAGCCUAACAGAAGGCAAGCAAGAUCAAAUUAGAACACAAUUACCUAAAUUUACCCUUUUUAUUUUUCUUCCUAAAGCAUUUUUAAAAAAAAUUAAUUUUUUAUUUUAUUUCUUUUUUAUUUUAAAUUAAUAUUUUUUUAGUAUUUUUAGAUCAUUUUAAUACGCUGAUUUCAAAAAUAAUUUUAAAAAAUAAAAAAACAUUAUUUUAAUACAUUUUUAAAUGAAAAAUAUUUUGAAAAGGAACCGUAACCAAUUAUAAAAAAACUCAAUUAAAUAAGAAAAACCUCGAAACAAAAUUUAGAAGGGCAGAAAAAUAAAAAUACUCUGAAAUCUUUGAGGGAGUUUUGUAACAUUUAAAAAACACUAGCACUUAUAGAUGCAGAAAUAUUCCAUUUUAUUUCCAAUUGACUUGAAAAUCUUUCAAAGACGCCGGCUGUUGUUUGUGAAGUUCCAACGUGAGCCAUGGACGUUAAAUGUAGUGGUGGAUGGGAGUUGUUCCUCCCUUGCCCCUGCUACAUAUUUAUAGGAUUUGGUACGGGUUCACGUAUUUUCAUAUAUAUAUUUUUAAUUAGAAUAUAGUAUUUAAUAGUUUAUACUCAAUAAAAAAUAAAAUACAAUGCCAAAUGAGGCCAUCUACUUGAGCAUUAAAGCAGGGUCAUCGAGGGCUUUGAAUCCGGAUGUUAUUUGAUAGACAUACAUGAACAGGUAAGUAUUAUUGCAACAGCACAGCUAGAAUGACACUCGGAUACCAAGUAAGGCCAUCAGCUGAGACACAAACUGAGGGUGCCCUGGCCAUGCGGCUCCGGUAACCAAGUUUUCGUCGGUGUAGCAACGAUCGAUUGGAUCCGGUUCUAGCCAUGUUGCCCCUCCCAAGACGACGUUCAGCUUCACAGCAGGGUAUGCGGUGCACUUUCUUCCCUGCAGCAACAUGAUUCACAUAUACAAGAAUAAGGAUGGCAAGUGUGAAGAAAAUGAUUACUUCUGUGAUUCUAUGAAGGGGAAAGAAAACAUUGGAUACUACCUUGAGAACUCCCGCAGCAGCUAGGAUCUGCUGUCCGUGACAAAUAGAGGCAACUGGCUUCUUUGAUUGCAUGAAUUUCUUCACCAAGGCAAUCACUGUCUCAUCCAGUGCCAAAUAUUCUGGAGACCGGCCUCCAGGGAUGACGAGAGCGUCGUAACUCGAGGCAUCCAAGCCUUCAUAGGAAGCUGUUAGAAUGAAAUUAUGGCCUGGCUUCUCAGUGUAUGUUUGGUCACCUUCAAAGUCAUGGACUGCAGUCGGGCAGAAAUCCCCAGCCUUCUUCUUGGGGCAAACUGCAUCAACGUGGCACCCAAGAGCUUGAAGGGAUUGAAGAGGAACAGUAACCUCAUAAUCUUCCAUGAAAUCCUGAAAGCAAGAAUAAGAGAAUAAAUACUUCUUAGUAAACAAGAAAAAACACUUGUUUCUUCGAGCUUGAUGAUAGUAACCAGAGUCAAAUAAUUUUUGUAUUAGAACUUACCCCACAGAGAAACAGAAUCCUUUUAUCUGAACCAGCUAUCUUGUCUCCCAGUGCCUUCACAACAAGCUGGAUGUACUCAGGAUGCGCCUUAUAUAUAACUCCAGUAAUGAGAUUGCCAUCAGAAACACAAUCCAUCAUGGUUUUAGGUUCAAUCCAAUGAGCACCGGCAUCGAUGAGAACAGGUCUCAGAGCAUGGUAUGCAGUGCACUUCCGGCCUUUUAAUAAGCCUGCAGCUGCCAAGAUCAAUGGCCCAUGGCAAAUAGCAGCAAUCAGCUUUCCUGAAU
rnacentral:lncRNA from 1 species